UACGAAGGGGACUAGCGUUGUUCGGAAUCACUGGGCGUAAAGCGCACGUAGGCGGAUUGUUAAGUCAGGGGUGAAAUCCUGGAGCUCAACUCCAGAACUGCCUUUGAUACUGGCGAUCUCGAGUCCGGGAGAGGUGAGUGGAACUGCGAGUGUAGAGGUGAAAUUCGUAGAUAUUCGCAAGAACACCAGUGGCGAAGGCGGCUCACUGGCCCGGUACUGACGCUGAGGUGCGAAAGCGUGGGGAGCGAACAGG
rnacentral:rRNA from 1 species